rnacentral:rRNA from 1 species
AGCGAACGCUGGCGGCAGGCCUAACACAUGCAAGUCGAACGGACCCUUCGGGGUUAGUGGCGGACGGGUGAGCAACACGUGGGAACGUGCCUUUAGGUUCGGAAUAGCUCCUGGAAACGGGUGGUAAUGCCGAAUGUGCCCUUCGGGGGAAAGAUUUAUCGCCUUUAGAGCGGCCCGCGUCUGAUUAGCUAGUUGGUGGGGGUAUGGCCCAGCAAGGCUACGAUCAGUAGCUGGUCUGAGAGGAUGACCAGACACAUUGGGACUGAGACACGGCCCAAACUCCUACGGGAGGCAGCAGUGGGUAAUCUUGCGCAAUGGGCGAAAGCCUGACGCAGCCAUGCCGCGUGUAUGAUGAAGGUCUUAGGAUUGUAAAAUACUUUCACCGGUGAAGAUAAUGACUGUAGCCGGAGAAGAAGCCCCGGCUAACUUCGUGCCAGCCGCCGCAGUAACAC